rnacentral:rRNA from 1 species
AGAGUUUGAUCCUGGCUCAGGACGAACGCUGGCGGCGUGCUUAAUACAUGCAAGUCGAACGGAGUUAAGGGUUUCGGCCUUUAACUUAGUGGCGAACGGGUGAGUAACGCGUGAAUAACCUGACUCAAAGAGGGGGAUAACAACGGGAAACUGUUGCUAAUACCGCAUGAGACCACAACACCGCAUGAUGAAGGGGUCAAAGAUUUAUCGCUUUGAGAGGGGUUCGCGUCCCAUUAGGUAGUUGGAGGGGUAACGGCCCACCAAGCCAACGAUGGGUAGCCGAGCUGAGAGGCUGAUCGGCCACACUGGAACUGAGACACGGUCCAGACUCCUACGGGAGGCAGCAGUAGGGAAUAUUGGGCAAUGGGCGCAAGCCUGACCCAGCAACGCCGCGUGAGGGAAGAAGGUUUUCGGAUUGUAAACCUCUGUCCUAUGUGACGAAGGAAGUGACGGUAGCAUAGGAGGAAGCCCCGGCUAACUACGUGCCAGCAGCCGCGGUAAUACGUAGGGGGCGAGCGUUGUCCGGAAUUACUGGGCGUAAAGGGUGCGUAGGCGGUUUGGUAAGUUGGAUGUGAAAUACCCGGGCUUAACUUGGGGGCUGCAUCCAAUACUGUCGGACUUGAGUGCAGGAGAGGAAAGCGGAAUUCCUAGUGUAGCGGUGAAAUGCGUAGAUAUUAGGAGGAACACCGGUGGCGAAGGCGGCUUUCUGGACUGUAACUGACGCUGAGGCACGAAAGCGUGGGGAGCAAACAGGAUUAGAUACCCUGGUAGUCCACGCCGUAAACG